rnacentral:rRNA from 1 species
GUCUACGGCCAUACUACCUUGAAAACACCGGUUCUCGUCCGAUCACCGAAGUUAAGCAACGUCGGGCCUGGUUAGUACUUGGAUGGGAGACCGCUUGGGAAUACCUGGUGCUGUAGACU